UGUGUUCCGGCGGAAGUGACGCAGACAAACAGUUUUAGGAGUUGCUGUGGAUAUUCGAAGAGACGCGCUAAACACAAACAACAGAUGAAAAUCAUCAUUAAUGUCUUCAUUUAGAUCAAAACAAAUGACAUGGCUUCAAAAUCUGACCCACUGCUUAUUGUUGUGUCCAUACUAGAAGGUCAUCAGUUUCCCAGGAGACCUCGGCAGACUUUAGUUGUGGAGGCUCGGUUUGAUGGAGAAACUCUGUCCACAGAUCCAGUAGAACACAUUGAACAACCACAGUUCUGUACUGAGCUGGCCUGGGAGCUGGACCGCAAGACACUUCACCAGCACAGACUCCAGAGGACCCCCAUCAAACUGCAGUGUUACGCGGUCGAUUCUGGCACGUCUGCAAGGGAAUGUGUGGGAUAUAUUGUUCUUGAUCUAAGAUCAGUUCAAGAGAUCAAACAGGCUCCUAAAUGGCAUCCAUUGCUUAGCAGCAAGUACACAAAAGUAAAACCUGCUCUGCUGAUCGGCGUGAUUCUAGAGAACGACAUCAAACAGACACCUGAGCAGUUCAAAGCCAAGAAAGCUCCUCCGAGAGAAAGUUCUCCAGCACGUCUUCCUCUCGAUACAGGUGAACUCAGAGCAGUUUUAAAUGCAGAUGAAGGUUAUCAUCAGAUUGGACCUGAAGAUCUCUGCGCCGACAUGUUUGUGUUGUCGGUAACGGUCGCUUUUGCUACACGACUGGAGCAGUUGAUCUCCAGCUCAGUGAAGGCUUUAUCUGAUGCUUCAGAGUUCUCAUUUUAUUACAACCUCCUGGGAAACGAUGUCACCAGCGAACCUUUCCAGAACCUCCUCAGUCCAAACUUCGAGCCUGAACGGGCCUCCGUACGCAUCCGCAGCAGUGAUCGUGUUUUGCGGCUCUUUCUCUCUCAGCAACCCAGUAUCCGGAUUCAUCUGUGCUGUGGGAAUCGUUCACUGGGCAGCACUGAGAUCAGUCUUGCUGGAUUAUUAAAGAGCAGCACGGAUCUGACUCGACGUUCGGCUACUAUAGAGGGAGCUUUCAUCCUGCAGCCUCCCAAUCGGGCAAAACCGAAUCUGCAGUCUGUCCCACCGGACCUCCAGCCCACAGUGGGUGUGUCUGUGACACUGAGAGCAGAAGACGUCAAUAAUCAGGUUGAUGCACCUGUUGAAAACGAGCCUAAAACUCCAGUGAAGAAAAGUCUCGUCCCAGACGCCCAUCAUGGACGUCCUCCGGUCCUGCAACAUCGAGCACAAACCCCAUCACCUGUCAGGAAAUCACCUGAUCUCCAUCUCAGAUUACCAGCAGCGUCUCCCGAGAGCUCCCAGAGUGAGGCGGAGACUCUGUCCAGUGAUGUCAGACAGGCCCCGCCCACUGUCCUUGAUGUGUCUGCGCCUGUUACUCCCGCUGCCACACGUGAGCCUGAAGCCGACACGUCAGUCUCAGUUUCUGCUCCAAAGAUCUCUGUUCCUGCCUCUGCGCGUCACUACUGCUUCUCUCUGGACCUGAGGAGCAUCCGAGAUCUCAGGACGAGCGUCCCGGUCAACUGCGUCCUCAGAUACUCUUAUCAGUUCUUCGGCAGCGCAGCUCCCAUCAUGACGAGUCCAGCGGUGGAGCUGAGGAGGAACACUGAGGUCUUUCUGCCACAGUCUUACUGCGCUUUUGAUUUUGCCGCUCUGCCCAAUCAGCUUCAUGAAACCUUUCUCAGGGUUCCUCUGCUGGUGGAGAUGUGGCACAAAGACUCAAACUCUUCAGAUCGUCUGCUAGGUUCUGUCAAUAUUCAGUUGUCUGAACUCCUCGGCUCUGAGAAGACUCGUUUCCUCGACCCAUCAGGCAGGCAGCAGUGUAGACAGACUGUUUCAGAGAGGGUCCCCAUCAUUGCAGCACAUGGGUCUGAGAAAUUGGCUGAACUUUCUUACGUGGCUGUUUUAGAAGAUUUGGGUUUGGUGAACGCUCAAGAUAUUGUCAUCUCUGAACCGUUACAGGAGCAGCAGAGGUCAGCAGCUCCUCCCCUUCGGGGUCAGACGGAUUUGGAAACGCUGACACGACCUCGAGAGACUCUGGAGUACAAGGCAGCGUUGGAGCUGGAAAUGUGGAAGGAGAUGCAGGAAGAUCUGUUCGAUAAUCAGCUGAAACAGAAGGAGUUGAGUCACAUGCAGGCAUUGGCUGAGGAGUGGAGAAGAAGAGAUCAUCAGAGAGAAGCUCUUAUCAAGAAGAAGGAGCUGGAGUACGAUCUACUAGAGCAACAGCUACAGAAGACUCUGUCUGAUCUGGAGAAGAGAGAGAAAGCACUCGCUCAUGCUGAGAUGGAGACGCAGACGCUGCAGCGAGAGAUGCGAGCCGAGCACGAGGUGAAGGCGCGAGAGCUGCAGGACAGCGGACGACGACUGCGUGAGGACUGCGCGCACCAGGUGGAGCUAGAGAGGUCAAAGGUCAGACAGCUGGAGGAUCAACUGAAACGACAGCAACAGCAGAUAAAAGAAUCAGAAGUGAAGUACAAGCAGCUGGAGCGAGAGUUUGUUCAGUACAGAGAGCAGCAGAGCACUCGUCCAGAGAUUCGUCUUCAGUCUGAGAUUAAUCUCUUGAGUCUUGAGAAGGUGGAGCUGGAACGAAAGCUGGAAUCUGCAACAAAAUCCAAACUUCAUUACAAGCAGCAGUGGGGACGAGCGCUGAAAGAGUUAGCCAGAUUUAAACAGCAAAUAUUUGAGCAGAAGUCAAGGCUUCAUCUUACGAGAGCAGGAGAACGCAAUGACACGCUUGAAGAAACAGCAGCAGGAACUGGAGCACAUGCGCUUACGCUUUCUGGCCGCUGAAGAGAAAGAAGCCGUCAAACACGAGAAACAAGAACUUCAGGAGAUCCACAACCAACUGAACAGACUGAAGCAGGUGGAGGAAUCGAGCAGACGCACUGAAGCGUCGUCCGUCUGUCUGAAUGACAUCACAGAUGAACACGUGACCCGUCUGCUGGAGGAGAGAGAUGCGUUACUGAGGACCGGUGUCUACACACACACAGACAAAAUCAUUUCUGAACUCAACAGACAGAUUCAAGAAGCCAUGAGCAACAGAAGAGAUCAUUGAGAGAUGAGCAUUAAAAACACAUCAGUUGUG